GUUUCUCCCUGCAUCUCACUCCUUUCUUCCUACACUUCCCAAAUUACCAUUUUGUCNCUCAUUUAAUUUAGUCAAAGCUCAUUUAAUGAUUACUUAAUUAUCUCUGUUUCCUAACCACUAUUCUUAACUACUAACAACCAACAACUCUGAUUAUAAACCCUAACACCACUUAACAUGCACCUCCCUCACCUCCUUCGUGUGUACUAUUACUCUUCAUUGUCUGAAGCCGAGAGAAUGGAUACUAGGUUAUUGGUUUGGUGAUCGGUGGUGUUGAUUCGUGCUAGUGGUGAUCAGUGCUGGUGGGAUAUUUGUUGGUGGUGCUGCAGUAGAAGAAGAUAAAGCGCGAGGAAGAAGACAAGCAAAAAGAGGUUAGUCUCAGAACCAAAUAACCGCACUUCGAUCAGCGGUUAUGGNN
rnacentral:lncRNA from 1 species